AAUAGAUGACGCCGUUGACCUUUUCUCAUAUGUUUGACCCUUCGUCUUAUUCAAAAAAUUUACGUAAUUAUAAUUUAUUUUAUUAUGAGUUGUUUUAUCAUUCAUAGUACUUUAAGUGUGAUUUAUAUCUUAUACAUUUGCAUAAAAUUUUUGAAUAAGACGAAUGGUCAAACAUGUAAGAAAAAGUCGUCAUCUAUU
rfam:Oryza nivara chromosome 5, whole genome shotgun sequence.